rfam:Triticum aestivum genome assembly, contig: Triticum_aestivum_CS42_TGACv1_scaffold_049455_1BS
AAAGUACUCCCUCCAUCCCAAAAUUCUUGUCUUAGAUUUGUCUAGAUAAGGAUGUAUCAAGUCACAUUUUAGUAUUAGAUACAUCUGUAUCUAGACAAGAAAUUUGGGACAGAGGGAGUAGUUG